rnacentral:rRNA from 1 species
CGGAUGUUAGCGGCGGACGGGUGAGUAACACGUGGGUAACCUGCCUGUAAGACUGGGAUAACUCCGGGAAACCGGAGCUAAUACCGGAUAGUUCCUUGAACCGCAUGGUUCAAGGAUGAAAGACGGUUUCGGCUGUCACUUACAGAUGGACCCGCGGCGCAUUAGCUAGUUGGUGAGGUAACGGCUCACCAAGGCGACGAUGCGUAGCCGACCUGAGAGGGUGAUCGGCCACACUGGGACUGAGACACGGCCCAGACUCCUACGGGAGGCAGCAGUAGGGAAUCUUCCGCAAUGGACGAAAGUCUGACGGAGCAACGCCGCGUGAGUGAUGAAGGUUUUCGGAUCGUAAAGCUCUGUUGUUAGGGAAGAACAAGUGCAAGAGUAACUGCUUGCACCUUGACGGUACCUAACCAGAAAGCCACGGCUAACUACGUGCCAGCAGCCGCGGUAAUACGUAGGUGGCAAGCGUUGUCCGGAAUUAUUGGGCGUAAAGGGCUCGCAGGCGGUUUCUUAAGUCUGAUGUGAAAGCCCCCGGCUCAACCGGGGAGGGUCAUUGGAAACUGGGAAACUUGAGUGCAGAAGAGGAGAGUGGAAUUCCACGUGUAGCGGUGAAAUGCGUAGAGAUGUGGAGGAACACCAGUGGCGAAGGCGACUCUCUGGUCUGUAACUGACGCUGAGGAGCGAAAGCGUGGGGAGCGAACAGGAUUAGAUACCCUGGUAGUCCACGCCGUAAACGAUGAGUGCUAAGUGUUAGGGGGUUUCCGCCCCUUAGUGCUGCAGCUAACGCAUUAAGCACUCCGCCUGGGGAGUACGGUCGCAAGACUGAAACUCAAAGGAAUUGACGGGGGCCCGCACAAGCGGUGGAGCAUGUGGUUUAAUUCGAAGCAACGCGAAGAACCUUACCAGGUCUUGACAUCCUCUGACAACCCUAGAGAUAGGGCUUUCCCUUCGGGGACAGAGUGACAGGUGGUGCAUGGUUGUCGUCAGCUCGUGUCGUGAGAUGUUGGGUUAAGUCCCGCAACGAGCGCAACCCUUGAUCUUAGUUGCCAGCAUUCAGUUGGGCACUCUAAGGUGACUGCCGGUGACAAACCGGAGGAAGGUGGGGAUGACGUCAAAUCAUCAUGCCCCUUAUGACCUGGGCUACACACGUGCUACAAUGGACAGAACAAAGGGCUGCGAGACCGCAAGGUUUAGCCAAUCCCACAAAUCUGUUCUCAGUUCGGAUCGCAGUCUGCAACUCGACUGCGUGAAGCUGGAAUCGCUAGUAAUC